AUAGCCUCAGUGCAACCGAAGCUAACGUUUUUUUGGUUUUCUGGAUGGAGUACACUUCACUGCUAUCAAUUACUGAGCUUAUGACAGUCGGGUCUAAGUAACUGGAACGAACCUGGAUUUUUAUCCGGCCAAGGACAGUCAGCUCGGCACCAUUCCUCGAAAUUACUUCAGGAAUUUACUUCUUCUGCCGCUACAACAACAACAACUGAGCUCGUUCUCAAAGCAGUCGAGUUUACAUAAAUGAAACGAUAAAACGGAAGGUUAGGGAAAGGUCCGCUUCGAAUUUGUUGGCCUACAGAGAAGAGAUCUUAGACGAGUACGUUUAAAUUUUGUGGUCAGAGUCAGAAAAUUGUAUUCCUUUACAGCAUACAAAGUGCAAUUGUGCGAUGGUUACACCAGUCUUAGGAAGAUACUUUAACUUUUUUAUGUAAAGGCCGCUGUUUGUUGAGGUCAGGAAGUUAAAUGCUUAUUUUUCAGUAAAUAUUUUCAGCUUAUAUAACAAAACUGAUCUUGGCGCAGAUCUGAAAAUGGUCCUUUCUCCAGAACUACUACCUCUUUCUUUUCACCUAUUGCCAAGUCGAAAAUUGAUUUUUAUUUACGAAUUAAAAGGUUUGUUCAUCUAAGUCGCAGAUAAAUUAACAAUAUUGCUAACAAGAGAAGCAAUCCACAAUGGUUUUAUACAAUAAAUAAUCAUUUAUUUUAAACUAAGCAAAUUUACGAAAUUUAAUCAUCUUUUAUUAACUUCAUAAUUACUUCAGCAAUAAGUCACUUAAGUGACGAAAAGUGUACGUACAAAAUUUAAGUAUGAAAACUAAUUGUGUAAAUAUAUUUCGUGAAGAUAUUUUGUCAAUUAAAAAAGUUUUCCAUACAACAACUUGAUUUGGAUCGGUCAAAUUGUAAGGCAGAGGAUAUAGUGGAUCGAAUUUGUUUGGAGAUUAUAGCGCUGCCUUCAAAAAUAAAAUGUGCCAAAUUUCGUAAAGACAAUAUGUCAAAUAAACAAGUUUUCCUUACAUCGACUUGAUUUCGACCGAUUAGUUUUUAUGGCAGCUAUACGCUACAGUAGGCUGAUAUCGGCGGUUCCGAAAUGAGCAGCUUCUUGGAAAAAGAACGUGUGCAAAAUUUCAGAUCGAUAUCUCAAAAUUGAGUGACUAGUAUGUACAGACAGACAAACACGCGGACAUGGCUAACAUGGCUAAAUCAACUCAACUCACCGAAGUUUCCUUCUGGGUGUUACAAACUUCGUGGCAAACUAAAUAUAUCUCUUCAGGCUAUAAAAAAUAAUUUCAUGAAUAUAUAUUUACAUGUGCACACA